GCACCACCGUCGAUCCAUUACCCCAAGUAUCUCUGUCUCUCUCUCUCUCUCUCUCUCUCUCUCUGUCUCCCUCUCUGUAUGUCCCGCUGACUGGGGAUUCUUAAGAGAUGGACUUCUUGAAGUUCAAGCCUUGCAGCAGCAGCAGUGACAAUAUUUGUUCCAACAAAAACAAACAGUGGACACUAAGAAAGCAAUUUCUCUUCUCAUCCAACAUAUGGAAAAGAUAGACAAAAGGUUGAAUCCUUUCUACCCGUGGAAGGAUACUAGUGUGGCGUCUACUACUUUAGAUAGUUUACCUGGUGGCAUCAUUCAAGCCAGGUUAGAUUUGGAGUUAAAACCUCUAUGGUCAAAAAGUAGUUCAAAGUCAAAGGUUAGGUUUUGAUCUUGGUAUACUUUGGAAUCAAUACACAAACUUCCUUAGAAUCAUGUAUU